UAGGGAAUCUUCCACAAUGGACGCAAGUCUGAUGGAGCAACGCCGCGUGAGUGAAGAAGGUCUUCGGAUCGUAAAACUCUGUUGUUAGAGAAGAACACGAGUGAGAGUAACUGUUCAUUCGAUGACGGUAUCUAACUAGCAAGUCACGGCUAACUACGUGCCAG
rnacentral:rRNA from 1 species